GACGAACGCUGGCGGCGUGCUUAACACAUGCAAGUCGAACGGAAAGGCCCUGCUUUUGUGGGGUGCUCGAGUGGCGAACGGGUGAGUAACACGUGAGUAACCUGCCCUUGACUUUGGGAUAACUUCAGGAAACUGGGGCUAAUACCGGAUAGGAGCUCCUGCUGCAUGGUGGGGGUUGGAAAGUUUCGGCGGUUGGGGAUGGACUCGCGGCUUAUCAGCUUGUUGGUGGGGUAGUGGCUUACCAAGGCUUUGACGGGUAGCCGGCCUGAGAGGGUGACCGGCCACAUUGGGACUGAGAUACGGCACAGACUCCCACGGGAGGCAGCAGUGGGGAAUAUUGCACAAUGGGCGGAAGCCUGAUGCAGCAAAGCCGCGUGCGGGAUGACGGCCUUCGGGUUGUAAACCGCUUUCGCCUGUGACGAAGCGUGAGUGACGGUAAUGGGUAAAGAAGCACCGGCUAACUACGUG
rnacentral:rRNA from 1 species